rnacentral:lncRNA from 1 species
AAUGAAAGUUUUUUGAUAAGGCAAGGCCAUUGGAAACCAUAGCAAAUUCCAAAGUCAAUAAUAUGAACGCUGCUCUCAUUCUCCACUAGUCUGAAAAUCGUUUUGGUUAACAACAUAUUCGUCAAUCUCUGCAAAGGAGAUGAGGUAAUGAAUAGUUUGUAAGCUUUCAACAUAUCUCCAGCAGUAGCCAUAUCAAGUGGCUUAUACGAUGGCGUCUCGGCAGACAAUCUUAUCUCAAGACCAUUUGCAAAAUAAUGAGCUAAACGCUGGAGUCCAUCCCCAAAUUGCGAAGAAUGUUGCCUAAUCUGCUUGAGUAGCUCAUUUGUAUUCCUUUGAUCGUAGCUUGCCACGGCCUGCGCACAUUGAGUUAGCAUUGUCCACAAAUCUACAGCUGGGGCAUUGUUAGUAGUAGAUACUUUCUUCGAACGCGAACCCGUUCUCUUUGCCUUCCCUCCUGAAUUGACAUUAUGUGAUGCUUGUUGGUUUUGUGUCCUUCCUGCCUGACAAAGCAAUACCUCUUCUAAGAUCUCUGGUGGCUCUAAUUCAUCGGAGAAGAUAGCUGAAAGCUUGCUACCUCUUCCCUCUUGUUCAUUCCAAGUAUCAUCACCAUUCAUCUUAUGACUUCUCUUUUCUCUUGGUACUACUGAAGUUGAAAUCUCUUCCACCAUCCCUGGCUGAAUGGCAUUCCAACAUCCGUUGUGAAUACCGUUAGCAGCUUCUGUCACAUUAAAGUUGUUUUGUUCUACUACAUGGGUUUGUAGUUGUAAGGAAGAACAAUCGAAUUCGCCAGCAUGGUUGACCCAAUCAGACUCAUAUGAGUUAUCAGUGGAGCAGCUGCUGCUAUUGCUCUCAAAACUAGCAGUGCCGCGACUGAAAUUUCCAUCUGUGUUGGUGGUAUCUUCACAUGAUGAAUUAGGAUAGUUGUGACCAAGAACAUCAUAGAAUGAUUUUUCAGCAGCUUGGAGUCUUAAACAUUCCUGCAACAUGCAAGGUUUAAGCUCCAAGUCAUCUUCUUCAUCCAUGAGGAUGUCACUUAUGUAUCCGAGGAUGUAAUUGGAAUAUCUUGUCCCUUUUGAGGAUUCUCCAUUUGAGCUUGUGACAGAAGAAGGUGAUGAUGAUGAAUCUUCCAACUCAAAUCCAUUUGUUACCGGGUUUACUGUGUCAGGAACACAGAAAUCUUGCAGAAAGGCGUUCGGAGAAAGCAUAUUGAGACAAGGCUAAUACCAAAAUUGAACCAAAAAAUCAGAUUUUUAUACUAGAUGUUUUGAAAAAAUUUUUGUUCCAGAGAAGCCAAAAAUAUAUCACUAGGAAACUUUUGAUGAAUCAAUGAAACCAAAGACAGAACAAGAACAGAAACAGGAAAAGAUAGAAUUAUUGAUAUAUUUAAGGAUAGCAAGAAAACAAGAUUCAGAAAACUAAAUAGCUACUCCUAUUUUGGAUAAUAAUAACAUAUCUAGAAUAGAAUGAAGAAGAAUGAAUUAAAGUGAAAAUAUUAGAGGCUAAUGAAUAUAGCAGGGGACAAACUUAAGAAAAGUUUAUAUCUAGCAACUGAAGAGUAAAUGGCAUAGUUGUAUGAUUUAGUCAUAUAUCAUUGUUAUAUAGAAAAUUCAUAAAUGAUUCUUCCUUUGUAUAAAGGAAGUUGCUAGGAAGGAGUCUCAUAGUCAUAGCCGCCAACCCUCUUUUUGUAUUAUUUUAAUUUUAAUUAUUUGGAUCAUGCUAACUACUGUCCCGCAUUUUCCUAAUUAAUACUAAUUUUUAUGAUAUAGUGAUAAUAAUUCAGGGUAUAGUAUGUGUUAAGUAUAUGACUUGCUUAUUGUCAAAUAAAAAGUAUAUGGCUAGCUGUCACUGUCACACACACAUGAGUGAUAAGUGAUCUGUGAUCUAGUCUUUGAUUUUUCUAUGUAAAUAAAUAAAAUAUAUGCAAAAAUAUAUAAGUUGAGAUGUAAAGUGGUCAAACAUGUACACGUGUCAAAUGCAGGUGAACCCUUGUUCCCCAAGUCACUUUAUACAACCUAAUAGUAUUACUAAAUUAUAUAUAUGUGGAGUGCUACUAACUUCAAUUUUGAAUUCAAUGUGAAUGCACCUGGAAUGUGAUUGAUGUUUUCUUUGGUCAAAUGAUGGUGUAGUAAGACUUUUGUCAUGUAAUCUACAAUUCUACAUACCACUUGACCCUAACAACGAACCAUAUCAUAGAAAAUAAAAAGAAAUUUCAAUGGGAACAUUUUUUUAUUCAAAAUUAGUUUGUGUCAGUUUUAUGGUUUAUUUUCUUUAAACCAUUGAAUUCAAGCUGGGUGAUUAAAAUGAGGAGGGUCUCAGAAGCUUUAUAUGAUAUGAAAGUACCGCUUAAGUUAAAGGGAAAAUUUUAUCGGCGAUGUUGUAGGAAUUACUGCCAUUUCCUAGUUUUCGUUUUCAUUCAGGUGUUCUUCCUUUAAGUAUUACUUUUGUCUUUUCUGGUGAUUAGUACUAAAUUUGUGUAUCAUAAAGAAAAAGAUUGUCAUGUUUUUCCAUCUAGGUAGUAAAUUGAACAUCAAUAUUGAAAUAAAACUCAAAUGGAGAAAGAGAAAUAGAAAAGGAAAAAUUCAUUGCAUUUUUUUCAACAGGCCUAAGUGAAUUACAUAUGAUACUACUAUGAGACACCUUGUAGACAUUUUCUUAAGCAGGAACCCAAGCAGAUAAAGCAUACAAAAUACGCCCUUUCCAUCCUUGCAAAAUCCACUUACCAUCCUCAUCAACUAGAAAAUCUUCAUGGUAUUCCUUCUUUACCAUUUUUAUGGUUUCAUUCACUAACUCAGGAUCCAACCUGAUUUGCUUAAACCCAGCUCUUCUGUUCCUGAUCUGCCAUUGCUUGUAGGUCUCAGGCCUUUCAACUCUCUCUGCACCCUCACAAGCUAUAACAUUUAUGGCAUCCCUACCAAACAAACUACUCUCAAGCAUCAACCUCUGCGGAUCUUCGCGAGGCACAUUAGCCUCAAACAUAUCAAACAACGAUGAGAAGUGGUAUAAUGCUUCCCUAAACCGAGUCAGGAAAUACGGUGCACUAUAACUUCCAUUGACAACUCCGUGGAAGAAGAUUUUUGGAUUAAUUUUCCUGAUCAGCUUCAACAAAGCUUCUCUUGGACAAUUGACUGCAACCGUUUCAUCAGGCAGGUUCUUAAGUCUGUAUAAACAGCUAACAAGAGUUAUUUCAUUCCUGUCUAUCUUCAGAUCCUCGAGCCGGAUAGUUUCCCAUUUCUGUGCAAUGCAGUUGUAUUCAAAUGGUACAUUGAACUUUUUGCAGUAGUUUCCUAAACGCCGUCCAGUUUCCUCCACCCUCUCUGCAGGCCUAAAUCCUGCCUGAGGAAGAUCAAUUCCCGUAAUUCGAAGCUUUAGUGGACCACCAGGUCUUAAUGAAAGUCUUUUGAUGAGGCAAGGCCAUUGGAAACCAUAGCAAAUUCCAAAAUCGAUAAUAUGAACGCUAGAACUCUCGUUCUUCACUAUGUCGAUAAUCGUAUUGGUUAACAACAUAUUUGUCAUUCUCUGCAAAGGAGAUGAGGUAACGAAUAGUUUGUACGCUUUCAACAUAUCUCCAGCAGUAGCCACAUCAAGUGGCUUAUACGAUGGCGUCUCGGCAGCCAAUCUUAUCUCAAGACCAUUGGCAAAGUAAUGAGCUAAGCGCUGCAGUCCAUCACCAUAAGCCGAAGAAUGUUGCCUAAUAUGCUUGAGCAGCUCAUUUGUAUUCCUUUGAUCGUAGCUCGCCACAGCCUGCGCACAUUGAGUUAGCAUGGUCCACAAAUCCACAGCUGUGGCAUUGUUAUUAGAUACUUUCCUUGGCUGCGAACGUGUUGCCUUUGACUUUCGUCCUGAAUCGAGAUUCUGCAAUUGUUGUUGGUUUUUAGUCCUUCCUGACUGAUAAAGCAGUACCUCAUCUAAAAUCUCUGGUGGCUCUAAUUCAUCAGAGAAGAUAGCUGAAAUCUUGCUACCUCUUCCCUCUUGUUCAUCACAAGAUUCAUCAUCAUUUAUCUCAUGUCUUCUCUUUUCUCUUGGUGCUAAUGAAGCUGAAACCUCUGCAACCAUCACUUUGUGAAUGUCAUUCCAACUCCAAGUUCCAUUCUGAAAAUGGCUUGCAGAUUGUUGCUCAAUUACCACUGGAUCAGGUUCUGUCAAAUCGGCGUAGUUUGGUUUGACUAAAGGAGUGUGUAGUUGUAAGGAAGGAGAGUCAUAGUCUCCAACAAGGUUGAUCCAAUCACACUCAUAUGAGUUAUCAGUGGUGCAGCUGCUGCUGUUGCUCUCAAAACUAGUGGCGCGACCGAAAUUUCCAUCUGGAUCAGUGGAAUCAUCACAUGAUGAAUGAGGAUAGUUUUGACCAAGAACAUCAUAGAAUGAUUUUUCAGCAGCUUGGAGUCUUAAACAUUCCUGCAACAUGCAAGGUUUGUUCUCUAAAUCAUAUUCUUCAUCCAUGAGUAUGUCAUUUAUGUAUCUGAGGAUGUUGUUGGAAUAUCUUGUAUGUUCAUAAUUUCCAUAUGAGCUUGUGACAGAAGAAGGUGAUGAAGAUGAAUCUUCCAACUCAAAUCCAUUUGUUACUGUGUUAGGAACACUGAAAUCUUGCAGAAAGGUGUUUUUGGAAAGCAUAUUGAAACAAAGGCUAAUGCCAAACUUGAGCAAAAAAAAAUAAUCAGACUAUCAUAAAAGAUUGUUUUGUUCCUGAGAAACCAAGAAUUUAUGACUAGAAUUUUUUUGAUGAAUCAAUGAAACCAAAGACUGAACAACAGAAACAGGAAAAGAUAGAAUUGUUGAUAUAUUUGAGGAAGUCAGAAUAAGAACAAAGAAAACAAGAUUGAGAAAACUAAAAAAUUGUUCCUAUUUUGGAUGAUAAUAAUAGCUUAUCUUGGAAAAGUUGAUAUCUAUCUAACAAGUGAAGAGUAAAUGGCAUUGUUGUAUGAUAAUAAUAUCAUUGAUAUGUGUUGAUACCUUUGUUAUAUAGAAUUCAUAAAUGAUUCUUUACCAAGGAAACUACUAGGAAUGAGUAUUAUAGCCGCCAACCCUCUCCUUUUGUAUUAUUCCAUGUAUUAUUAUUUUAUGAUAUAGGGUGUGUUUGGUAAUUCCAAUAAGCUAGCUUAUAGCUUAUUGCAAUAGCUUAUGAGCUUGUUUGAUUUGGACGUGUUUGGUAACUAGCUUAUAUAAUUAGCUUAUAGCGUUUUUUGAGAUGCUAUUUCAAGUAGCGUAUGAGCUUAUAGCUUAUAGUUUUUUACAUUUUAUUCCAUAUUUACCCUUAUUAUUUUUUUAAAAUUAUAAUAACUACCCACUAACUAUAUACUUUUAUGUCAUUUUGUACUUACGACAGCUAAAUUUGUCAAACACUUUAAUUUUAUUCUACUAGCUUUUCAGCUAUAAGAUAGCUUAUAGCUUAUUUUUACCAAACAGAGCCAUAGUAAUAAUAAUGCACGAUCGAGUAUGUGCUAAGUAAAGUAUAUGACUAUUGCUGUUACUGUCACACACACACAAGAGAAGAGAGAGAUACGUGAUAUGUGAUCUAGUUUUUUAUUUUUCUGUUCUAUAUAAGAUAAGAUAUUAAAUGGUCAAAUGCAGGUGAACCCUUGUUCCCCAAGUCACUUUUUGCAACCUACUAGUAUUACUAAAUUAUAUAUCAUGUGGAGUACUACUAACUACAAUUUUAAAUUCAAUGUGAAUGCCACUUGAAUGUGAUUGAUGUUUUCUUUGGUCCCAUGAUGGUGUAGUAAGACUUUUGUUAUGUAAUCUACAAUUCUACAUACAUCUUGUUAACACUUGACACUAACAACGAACCAUAUCAUAGAACAUAAAAAGAAAUUUCAGUUGGAAACUUUUUUUGAUUCAAAAUUAGUUUGUGUUGGUUGACAAUCUUCUUUAAGAGGAGGGUCUCUGAAGUUUUAUGUAAUAUGAAAGUACCCCUUAAAUUAAAGGGAAAAUUUUAUCGGACUACGGUAAAACCGGCGAUGUUGUACGGAACCAACACAGAAAUAAACUAAGUGUAGCAGAGAUGAGGAUGUUGCGUUGGAUGUGUGGUGAGAGUAGACGGGAUAUAAUAGAAAUGACAACAUUAGAGAUAGAGAGUUGGGGUAGCAUCUAUAGUAGAAAAUAUGGUGAAAUCUAAGAGCUUAAGUGGUUUGGCCAUGUAGAUAGAAAACCUGUAAGUUCUGUAUUAAGGAGAGUAGAUCAGAUGGAGGAGAGUCAAAUUACUAGGAAGACCUAGGAAAAACAUAGGAGAAACUAUUAAGAAAGAUCUAGAAAUUAGCGAGUUGGAAUAGUAAUAUGACGUCGUUUAAUCCAUGUAGCUGACUCCACGUAGUGGGAUAAUGCAUGGUUGUUGUUGUUGUUGAUGAAUUACUGCCAUUCCUAGUUUUUGUUUUCAUUCAGGUGUUCUUCCUUUAAGUAAUAUUUUUGUCUUUUCUGAUUAUUAGUACUAAAUUUGUGUUUCAUAAAGAAAAAGAUUAUCAUGUUUUUCCACCUAGGAAGUAAAUUGAACAUCAAUAUUGAAAUAAAAACUCAAAUGGAGAAAGAGAAAUAGAAAAGGAAAAAUUCAUUGCAUUUUUUUCAACAGGUUUAAGUGAAUUACAUAUGAUACUACUACAAGACACCUUUUGGACAUUUUCUUAAGCAGGAACCCAAGCAGAAAAAGCAUUCAAAAUACGGCCUUUCCAUCCUUGCAAAAUCCACUUACCAUCCUCAUCAACUACAAAAUCUUUAUGGUAUUCCUUCUUAACCAUUGUUUUGGUUUGAUUCACUAACUCAGAAUCCAACCUGAUUUGCUUGAACCCAGCUCUUCUGUUCCUGAUCUGCCAUUGCUUGUAGGUCUCAGGCCUUUCAACUCUCUCUGCACCCUCACAAGCUAUAACAUUUAUGGCAUCCCUAGCAAACACACUACUCUCAAGCAUCAACCUCUGUGGAUCUUCGCGAGGAACAUUAGCCUCAAACAUAUCAAACAAUGAUGAGAAGUGGUAUAGUGCUUCCCUAAACCGAGUCAGGAAAAACGGUGCACUAUAACUUCCAUUGACAACUCCGUGGAAGAAGAUUUUUGGAUUAAUCUUCUUGAUCAGCUUCAACAAAGCUUCUCUUGGACAAUUGACUGCAACCGUUUCAUCAGGCAGGUUCUUCAGUCUGUAUAAACAGCUAACAAGAGUUAUUUCAUUCCUGUCUAUCUUCAGAUCCUCGAGCCGGAUAGUUUCCCAUUUCUGUGCAAUGAAGUUGUAUUCAAAUGGUACAUUGAACUUCUUGCAGUAGUUUCCUAAACGCCGUCCGGUUUCCUCCACCCUCUCUGCAGGCCUAAAUCCUGCCUGAGGAAGAUCAAUUCCCGUAAUUCGAAGCUUUGGAGGACCGCCAGGUCUUAAUGAAAGUCUUUUGAUGAGGCAAGGCCAUUGGAAACCAUAGCAAAUUCCAAAAUCGAUAAUAUGAACGCUGCUCUCGUACUUCACUACUCUGAUAAUCGUAUUGGUUAACAAGUUAUUUGUCAUUCUCUGCAAAGGAGAUGAGGUAAUGAAUAGUUUGUACGCUUUCAACAUAUCUCCAGCAGUAGCCACACAAAAAGGCAUAUACGACGGUGUCUCGGCAGCCAAUCUUAUCUCAAGACCAUCAGCAAAGUAAUGAGCUAAGCGCUGCAGUCCAUCACCAUAAGCCGA